CCUACGGGAGGCAGCAGUGAGGAAUAUUGGUCAAUGGACGAGAGUCUGAACCAGCCAAGUAGCGUGAAGGAUGACUGCCCUAUGGGUUGUAAACUUCUUUUAUAUGGGAAUAAAACGUUCCACGUGUGGGAUUUUGUAUGUACCAUAUGAAUAAGGAUCGGCUAACUACGUGCCAGCAGCCGCGGUAAUACGGAGGAUCCGAGCGUUAUCCGGAUUUAUUGGGUUUAAAGGGAGCGUAGGUGGAUUGUUAAGUCAGUUGUGAAAGUUUGCGGCUCAACCGUAAAAUUGCAGUUGAAACUGGCAGUCUUGAGUACAGUAGAGGUGGGCGGAAUUCGUGGUGUAGCGGUGAAAUGCUUAGAUAUCACGAAGAACUCCGAUUGCGAAGGCAGUUCACUGGACUGCAACUGACACUGAGGCUCGAAAGUGUGGGUAUCAAACAGGAUUAGAUACCCGUGUAGUC
rnacentral:rRNA from 1 species